GACGAACGCUGGCGGCGUGCCUAAUACAUGCAAGUCGAACGCAGUGGGGACGGGUGAGUAACACGUGGGUAACCUCCCAUCAGAGGGGAUAACACUUGGAAACAGGUGCUAAACCGAUACUGAUGGAUGGACCCGCGGUGCAUUAGCUAGUUGGUGAGGUAACGGCUCACCAAGGCCACGAUGCAUAGCCGACCUGAGAGGGUGAUCGGCCACACUGGGACUGAGACACGGCCCAGACUCCUACGGGAGGCAGCAGUAGGGAAUCUUCGGCAAUGGACGAAAGUCUGACCGAGCAACGCCGCGUGAGUGAAGAAGGUUUUCGGAUCGUAAAGCUCUGUUGUUGGUGAAGCGGUAAUCAACCAGAAAGUCACGGCUAACUACGUGCCAGCAGCCGCGGUAAUUC
rnacentral:rRNA from 1 species